UCAUAUGGAUUGUGCAGCAGCGCGCGGUAAAUACGGAGGGUGCACGCGUUAAUCGGACUUACUGGGCGUAAAGCGCACGCAGGCUGGUUUGUUAAGUCAGAUGUGAAAUCCCCGGGCUCAACCUGAGAACUGCAUUGAAACUGGCAAGCUAGAGUCUCGUAGAGGGGGGUAGAAUUUCCAGGUGUAGCGGUGAAAUGCGUAGAGAUCUGCAGGAAUACCGGUGGCGAAGGCGGCCCCCUGGACGAAGACUGACGCUCAGGUGCGAAAGCGUGGGGAGCAAACAGGAUUAGAUACCCUGGUAGUCCACGCUGUAAACGAUGUCGAUUUGGAGGUUGUGCCUCUGAGGCGUGGCUUCCGGAGCUAACGCGUUAAAUCGACCGCCUGGGGAGUACGGCCGCAAGGUUAAAACUCAAAUGAAUUGACGGGGGCCCGCACAAGCGGUGGAGCAUGUGGUUUAAUUCGAUGCAACGCGAAGAACCUUACCUACUCUUGACAUCCAGAGAACUUUCCAGAGAUGGAUUGGUGCCUUCGGGAACUCUGAGACAGGUGCUGCAUGGCUGUCGUCAGCUCGUGUUGUGAAAUGUUGGGUUAAGUCCCGCAACGAGCGCAACCCUUAUCCUUUGUUGCCAGCGGUUCGGCCGGGAACUCAAAGGAGACUGCCAGUGAUAAACUGGAGGAAGGUGGGGAGGACGUCAAGUCAUCAUGGCCCUUACGAGUAGGGCUACACACGUGCUACAAUGGCGUAUACAAAGAGAAGCGACCUCGCGAGAGCAAGCGGACCUCAUAAAGUACGUCGUAGUCCGGAUUGGAGUCUGCAACUCGACUCCAUGAAGUCGGAAUCGCUAGUAAUCGUAGAUCAGAAUGCUACGGGGAAUACGUUCCCGGGCCUUGUACACACCGCCCGUCA
rnacentral:rRNA from 1 species